GUAUUCGGCAAUGGGGGAAACCCUGACCGAGCAACGCCGCGUGAAUGAUGAAGGUCUUCGGAUUGUAAAAUUCUGUGGUAAGAGAAGAAAGAUAUAAAGAGGAAAUGCUUUGUAUUUGACGGUAUCUUGCUAGAAAGCCACGGCUAACUACGUGCCAGCAGCCGCGGUAAUACGUAGGUGGCAAGCGUUAUCCGGAAUUACUGGGCGUAAAGAGUGAGCAGGCGGUUAGAUAAGUCUAUGGUUAAAUGCAACAGCUCAACUGUUGUUCGCUAUAGAAACUAUUUAACUAGAGUGCGGGAGAGGUAAGUGGAACUCCAUAUGUAGCGGUGGAAUGCUUAGAUAUAUGGAAGAACACCAGAGGCGAAGGCGGCUUACCAGUCCGUAACUGACGCUCAGUCACGAAAGCGUGGGGAGCAAAUAGGAUUAGAUAUCCUAGUAGUCCACGCCGUAAACGAUGAGAACCUGAUGCAGGAGAUAUUCUGUGUCGAAGCUAACGCGUUAAGUUCUCCGCCUGGGUACUACGUUCGCAAGAAUAAAACUUAAAGGAAUUGACGGGCGCCCGCACAAGCAGUGGAGCAUGGGGUUUAAUUCGUCGAUACACGAAAAACCUUACCAGGGCUUGACAUCCCGCUAAAAGCCUUAGAAAUAAGGAAAUAGUUAUAGCGGUGACAGGUGGUGCAUGGUUGUCGUCAGCUCGUGCCGUGAGGUGUUAGGUUAAGUCCUCAAACGAGCGCAACCCUUGUCUUUAGUUGCCAUUAUUAAUUUAGGAACUCUAGAGAGACUGCCGGCGCAAGCCGGAGGAAGGCGGGGAUGACGUCAAAUCAUCAUGCCCUUUAUGCCCUGGGCCACACCCGUGCUACAAUGGUCGGUACAAAGAGAAGCAACACUGUGAGGUGAAGCAAAUCCCAUAAAGCCGAUCUCAAUUCGGAUUGAAGUCUGCAACUCGACUUCAUGAAGCUGGAAUUGCUAGUAAUCGCAGAUCAGCAACGCUGCGGUGAAUACGUUCUCGGGCGUUGUACACACUGCCCGUCACACCAUGAGAGCCGGUAAUACUCGAAGUCGUUAGCCUAACCGUAAGGAGGGCGGCGCCUAAGGUAGGACUGGUGAUUGGGGUUAAGUCGUAACAAGGUAUCCCUACGAGAACGUGGGGAUG
rnacentral:rRNA from 1 species